rnacentral:rRNA from 1 species
CGGGUGAGUAACACGUGGAUAACCUACCUAUAAGACUGGGAUAACUUCGGGAAACCGGAGCUAAUACCGGAUAAUAUAUUGAACCGCAUGGUUCAAUAGUGAAAGACGGUUUUGCUGUCACUUAUAGAUGGAUCCGCGCUGCAUUAGCUAGUUGGUAAGGUAACGGCUUACCAAGGCAACGAUGCGUAGCCGACCUGAGAGGGUGAUCAGCCACACUGGAACUGAGACACGGUCCAGACUCCUACGGGAGGCAGCAGCC